ACUGUAUCUGUAUAGCACAAAGUGGCAAACUGUAUGGCCCGGGGGCCGAAUGUUGUGCCUGUAUGGCUAAAAAGCCGGGAAACUGUAUGACACAUAAUGUGUCGAUAAGAUCAUAUCAUGUAGCCCAUUAGGGCGCAGUACUGCUAAACUGUAUAUGGCAUGCCAUACCCUUAUGCUAUCUAUGACUCCCACUAAGGUUUACUAGGGCCAAGAAUACAUAUUUACAUGUUAAAGAUUUAUUGGUAUCAAACUUAUUCAUUUAGAUGCAUACCCUGUUGAAACAAGCAAAUAUGUCAAUAAAAAGGAGUCCUUAGGAGCAUACAUAUGUGUGUAAUAGACCAUCUUCAUUCAUGAACACAAUAUUCAGUCAUGAACAUAUUACUAUUUCAUCAAGAACAUGUAUGCAAAUUUUUAGUCUAUUAAGCUAGCACGUGCAUAAAGCAGGCAUGUCAAUCUCUUUUAGGUCAAUAUUUACAAUUAGGUUUGUUUCUGCCUGAGAUUGUAUUAUAUUUUUAAGUAUCUUGUGGACAUAAUUAGACUCACCUUUCUUCAUGAACUUUGUGUAUUUAUGUCUUAGCUUUCUAAAAAGAUAUAUUACAUCUAAUUCUGACCUUUCUAACUUAAGUUAUGAAUUUUUCUUUGCAAGCUGCUCAAUCAGGUCCUAACCAGUACAGUUUUGGUAUCUGUUUUUAAUCUAACAAAACCUAUCAUAUGCAUACAUUUGCAUACAGAUUCAAACUUAACUUUCUUGUACAAAGUUUUAGGUAUACUUUUCAGAGUUCAUUUGGCACUGGUUUUAAUUCAUUUCAUUGAGUAAAUCAUUAGUUAUGGUCUAGGAGAUACAUACUGCUCCGGAUGCACAAUUCCCUGUGACCAGCUUAGGUUCACUAGCAAUUUUCACAUACUUAGCUACAGAUUCAGAAUUUGGUCACUUCAUGAAAGUUUGAGAUUUGUGUCUUAGCUUUCAUUUGAUAUAUGUUAGGCUUAAUUUCAAUGAUCACACAAUAAGUUAUGAGGCUUCUAACACAAACUGUCCUGUUGGAACCUAUUCUGCCAGUUUUAUGUUUUUGGCUUCCAUGUUGUAUCUAUGUACUUUAAGCCUUCCAAUCAUCAUUUCAACAUUCA
rnacentral:lncRNA from 1 species